rnacentral:pre_miRNA from 1 species
GAUGGAGCAUCAUCAAGAUUCACAAACUUUAUCUGGGGCUCGUGGGGGUGGAGAACUUGGUGAUAGUGGCUUUUGGUGUGGUCCCUUUUGCUUCAAUCCAAAUAGCCCUUUGAUAUGGGAAUCUUGAUGAUGCUGCAGCGGCA